AGCUCCUGUCUCCUCUCCCCAUGCCAACCAUGCUUAUACAUACCCUGUGUUUGUUGGAGGACGAGUUGAUUCUGGCUGUAUGUCUGAGCUACAGCCCUCAUCCUCGUGUGUUUCCAAUGGAGGAGCAAAAGCAUGGAGAGAGGUGAAAAUGGGGAGCUGAGUUGAUCCAUUACCUUCCAAGAAGUGUUACUUACGGCCUGAAAAGCCCCAUGGAGGACCAGGAGCUCCUUUGGAGGAUCAGGAACUGUGGGGAGAGCAAAAGAGAGACUCAAUUUGAAAAAGUCAUCCUUCAGAAAGCUAUAGUAUCUCAGUUUCUGCUCCAGACUGUCUUUGCUGUGGCACAUGCCCGACCUGGGAGCUGGUGAGCACUGCCUCUCAGAUCUCGGGGCAAAGGUCAGUAGCUGCAUAGUGGCCUCUGGAUUCUUCAGAUACCGACCCUCAUCAUGUGGGGAGGCAUUAACCUUUGGCCCUGAGGUGAAAGCAACACAGGCUUGGAGAUGAGGGUCCCAUAGUGGCCUGUCCCCAUUGGUGACUGCACUUCCAGCUUCGAGUCUCUACUGGGGAAGGUCUUCCUUUGAAGUACAUCUCACUUGGACAGGAGCCAACGUCACGAGGAGGAAACUAUUAGCUUGUAAAGAGAACCCCACAGGGUAUCAGAGGAAAUUUCUAGACCUGCUGGGAUCAGAAUUGGUGCAGAUCCACCUCAGUGGCUUUCCCCAGGCAGUCAGAAAGGCAAAGACAGGCUGCAACCAGGCCUGAAUGGACCCGUUCUUCUCAGCCAACCGCUAACACUUAAGGAUUUACGAAAAAUUUCCUUGGCAUUAUGUGCUUGGUGGUAAGCUUGCUCUGAGGGAAUGUGCUCACAGAAGGACAAUUCUUUGGCAAAAUGAUCUUUGAGGCUGUGCCAAUAACAGCUAGAGGAACUCAGGUGCAGCUCCAAAAAGGCUGCUCCCCCACUAUGAGGACCAUUGCAACAGGCAGACAUGGUAAUGUAGUGCUAAACUGCCUUCUCUUUCUCCCUAGUCUGAGAAAUGCAAAGUUUUCUCAACGCAAAGGAACUAAUUACUUAUUUUUCAGGCUAUUGAACCAAAUGCAAUGUAUACAUGCCCCCCGAUGUGCUCUGGCAUUGCUGCUGCUGCAAUCACAGCAGGAAAGGAUUUUGCUGCUGCUGUUGUCAUAUUUUUCUUGUGGCACGUUUUUAGACAAAGCUGUGUCUUGUUUUUGGAUUUUUUUAAUGCACUGGGAAACUUCUGCUCUCACUCCUUGGCCAGUUUAAUUUUCCAAAUCCCAGAAUUAAUUUCUUUGAAUGUUUCUUUGUUAUUUCUCAGUAAGUCUUCUUUUUUUUUCCUUUCUCUUUCUCAUAUCAUGAGGUCUUUUUCCCCUCCUCAAACCAGUGACCAACAGAAAGACCUCGAGUAACAAUUUCUCAUCCUUAACCAUCUAGUUUUUUUAGCCCAGACUUUUCUCCACCAUUCUAUCUUUUGUGUGUUCAAAGCCAGUUAUUACCUUGAUUACAGAGCAUCCCUUCAUGAUGAAAUAGCUCUGGUGCUGAGCAGGAGAACAGGAAAGCUCAGACACCUACCCUUUCUUCAGACAAGCUUUCAUGCUCCUGUGCUUAGAGAUUGAUAAAAUUCCCCAUGUUAGGUACUGAAGUACUCAUGUACUGGUUUCCUUUUCCAUGGAUCCACAAUGAAAUGUGGUGGGUUUGUUCUGUUUUGUUUUCUUUUUUAAAGUUCCCGCCCAGGUGUUUCCAAUUGAUUACCUUUUCUUUAAAUUUAACUUGUUUCUAUUUAAUUCUUACAUAUUCCUCCUUACUUAACAUUUUUGCCAAGACUUUUACUAUUAAGGGCUAAGAGGAGAAGGGCUGCAUGUGGAGGCAGUAUUUUUUUCCCAGUGAGAUUCUCUCUGCCCCUGCUACACAAGUGUAAGUAGUUUUAACUGUCUUAUUUUAUUUUUUUGAGUGAGGAGCAGGUAAGGUAGUUGUAAAAAAACAGGAUCUGAGUUUUCCUUUUGCUGUGCUCUGACUUUUCCAAGCUUUGUGAAGUACUGAAGGGGUCUGGGAUGGGAAAAAUCAACAAAUGCCUCUUCCUUUGUAACAGCAUGUUCUGCAAGGGCUGCCUUUCCGUUGUGAUAUCCCCUCUUUCAGCCUUCUUUGCUCAUCUACACUAACUACCACUACUUUGGGCUGCGCUGCAAACAGCAAACCACUGAAGGAGAGGAGGGGCCCUCUUAUUUGGAAAAAAGCUUCCCUUUUCUAGAUAGUCUUGGAGUGGGUUUGGAACUAUCUUGUUGCUUUUGUGAAGGAUUUUGUCAUUUGCUACUUUGUGACAUGUGGCAAAUCAAUUUGAAUUUCCCAGCUCUUCUGCAGCACAUCACUCUGUGUUCCACCUGUCCUGCCAGACAGAUUAGAUUUGCACUUGUAGAGUCUAAGCAAGCAUGGUAUUUGUACCAAUGAUGGAAAUAUUUUCUCCUUCCUCAUGACAUGACUGGGCAGAGUGUGUAUGAAGAGUGGGUGUGCUCAGAUACAGGCAAUGUGUGUGUAUCAGGACUGUGUUUACAAGUGAUGCUCAGAAGACCAGUCCCUGGGCUUGCACUCUGCUGCUGCUGCUGCAUCCCUGGCUGGUGCUGCCCGUCCCUUCUCCCGUGGAACAACAGUGCCAACUGCUGGCUGCCGAGCCUCGCCUGCCAGAACCGGCUGUGCCUGCGGGUGGAACUGGUCCUCUUAAGCUUAGUUUUAGGGUCACCGCUACCUAAAACAAAGCAUCCCUUUGCUGAUGGUUUGGGUACUUCGCAGAAAUAUCUCGGUUUGGUGGUCCUUGUUUCCAUACCAAAAUAAUAUUCUACUGAGCUCAGGUGAGCCUGGGCCGGUUACCUUUCCUUGUGACAUUUCUCACAUUCAUUUCAAAACUGAUUGUUAAUGAUGUCUUAAAACUCUGUGUCUCUCCUCCUCUCCCAGGGCUGGCUGCUUAGAGCGAGGAGAAGGUUUCUGCUCUGAGCAGUGGAAGGGUCAUGAAAGGUGUUGUAUGCUCCCUGGAAGAUUUUAAUCAUGGAGUUGUGGUAGCAAUUUGCCAUCUACAGAUUUGAGAUACACAUACGUGUUAUAGCCACAAUGAACUCUGGGGAAAAUGAGAUGGUGGUUUAUGUAUUUCUGCACAGGGUACUACACAGUGGUUUUGUUCAGGGAAAAAAGGGAAAGAAAACGGGGAGGAUAAGAAAAAGAAGACAAUAUGCAGGUGUACAUGUAAGUGUCAUUUUGUUUGAAUUUCAGUGAAAUGCUUUAAUAGAAAAAGUAGUUUGUUUGGAUUGUUGUUUUUUGUUUUGUUUUGUUUUGUUUUGUUUUUCACUAAGAAGAAUAUCAAAUGGGAAAGACAGGCCUGUUUCUUUAAAUAUUUCCCGUGAAAAAGUGCUCACAUUAUUUUUUUGCUCUAUAAGGCUCUGUGUUCCCUGUCUCCUUUCCUUUUUGGCCUGUGGUCUUAUUCUGGGAGGGUUACAAAUGUUUGCAGGAGGUGGCAGUAGAGAGGACACAUGUAUGUGGAGUAGGAAAUGGGAAGGGAAAGAAGUAUUAAAAAAAGAAAUUUAGAGAGCUUUGCAGAGAAAGGGGAAAGACGGUGAAUGGGUAAAGCAAUAAACCUGGGAGAGAUGAUCGGGGGAAGUUUGCAGAGAAGAAAAAGGGUAAGGAUAGGAAAAGACAGGCAGCCAAACAAACUGAAAGUGAGUUUAAUGAGUCAGUGUUUCUGUGUGUUUCUGGCACCUCUCGAAGGGCCAUUUUUUACUUGCUCCCAGCCACAAAUGUUCUUCAUAAUUUUUGGAACAGAACAUAAGAGGAAAACUAAUAAAUCAGCUAUUCUUAAACAUAUGUGACAAGUCCAGGCUGAGGCACAGGUGAACCACAGCCAUGUGAGGUCUCUUAAAACCAAGUUGGAGAACUUUGGCCACCACCACAGGUUUUGCACUGCUUCCAACCCUCUGUUACUCUUUCACUCAUGUGGUGUUGUGUUCCCCCUCCAGCCCCAAUGUCUUCAUAAGGAAAUCUAAACGAGGCAGAAAGGAGAAAAAAAUAAAACCAAAACCCUCAAAAAACCAGCAGUAUUUUGAUGCUACCUUGAAAGACAGGAACAUCAAAACUCCUCCUGUGGAACUGAAACCUCAGGUUUUGGGUGAAGCUUAUAAAUCCUAUGAAAAAAGUAACCCUCAAGCAGUCUGUCAUUGUAGCCCCAACUGGGAGCCCCAACUGGGAGCCCCAAGCUGGCUCUGGGCAGUGUUGGGGAUGGGAGGGCCACCACACUCCACUCAGCAGCGGAGAAAUUGUGUGCAAGCGCAGUUCUGCUUGUGUAGCGGGUUCCAUGCCAGUCAGGUGUUAUGCUAAAUGUCAGGAGUGGGAAAUUGGAGCAAUGAGGGGACAAUCUCAGUCAGUUUUUCAAGCCAUGCAACAAAAUAUUUCUUGUGAAAGAAAUUGACAUUCUAUGAAACUGAUUUCUUAAGUAUCAUAAAUCACAGAUUUUGGGUUAGAAAGGACCUUAAAGAUCACCUAAUUCCAAUCCCCCUGCCAUGGGCAGAGACACCUUCCAGUAGACCAGGUUGCUCAGAGCCCCAUCCAACAUAAACACUUCCAGGAAUGGGGCAUCCACAAUUUCCCUGGGCAAUCUGUUCCAGUGCCUCACCACCCUCAUGUUAAAGAAUUUCUUCCUUAUAACUAAUCUAAAGCCACCCUCUUUCAGUAUGUACUGCUCUGUUUCUAAUGACAGUGUGUUGAAUUUUUAUUAGUGAUGUGAAUAAUUAAGCCGGAUGUCAUGCCAUUAUUUGUUAUUUCUUUUAAUUAAACAAAAUGAAAAUUUUGCCAGGACACGUGGUUGCAAUUUUCAAGAGUCUUGUUCUAAUCACACACUGCUUUAUUUUACUUUCACACAGACAGGCAUUCCUCCUACACUGUGUGUUUCUCCGAAUAAAGGGAGCAGGCUACAUGCUUUCCUAUCCAUGGCAGGCCUUUGUCACUGAGAUAGCCAGCCUCUUACUGAAAAUAUAUUUAUAUGUAUAAUAUAUUAUUAUAUUAUUAAGGAAACUUAAUGGUGGAGCAGAACUGAGCAUACUCAACGGAGAGAAAGUGCACAUAAAGGUAGGAUGAGAGGCAGGGGAAGGCAGAGAGCUGUUACUCCCUGUACCAGCCAUAGGUUUUUCCUGCGGUGGGGUGGGAUGCCAUGGGGACAGGUGAGGUGGCUGUGUUUGCUGUCCCUGGAGCCUGAGCAGUGGCAGUGGUGCUGGGAGCUGCGAUGCCGCUAGAUGUCCCUUGUCACCCGAGUGAGGUAGGCGGCUCAUCCCCACCCCUGAGCUUCAGGCAUAUAAGAUGUAGUGUUAUAAAGAAGCCUGUGUUUUAAGUAUUAAAUAUGGAGGAAAGUUGUGUCUGUAUUAAAAAAAAGGUCUUGUAUCAGCCUGUGAGGUAAUGUUGUAGGUAGCAAGGAAAAGGGUACUUCUUUAGCCACUUUAUAUUUAAUUUUUGUUGGAACAUAGUCCACCAUAGGGAAGAUUUCAUUUUGAAGGCAUAUUUACACCAGGGCAAUUCAAUAUUUUCUGCUGGAAAAGAAAUCAUGCUAGGAAAUGCUGGUUUGGUGAGCCUAACAUCGUGAUUUCAGCUAACUUUUCCCUGCUGACACAGGCCUGUCUGGUGCAAGAUGGGAUCUGGGCAUCCUGCACCAGUUGAGCUGGUGGAGGGGUUUGGGGGGAAAAGGACCUACAGGCUUUCCUUUCACCUGCUUAAUGAUUUUGCCAUUUUAGGCAUGUUCAUGUUGAAAAAGGCCAGAAAAAAAGGUCACUUCUUUGAAGAACUCAGCCCCUCCACCUCUCUGGUGCAGCUGUAGCCCCAAAGGCUCAAUGUGCCCCUACAGAGCGGGGAAAAAGCUGGUGGAAGAGGGAACAGCUGCUGCGGGAGGUGGACUGGUUAGGCAUAUGGCAUGGAGUGGGCAGAGCUAAGGGCAAGAGGCUGCAAGCUCUUGGAGGCAGUGUCUAAAGGGGGCACAAGGAAACCUCCCAAACCUGCUUCCACCUGGCCUUCCAAAACCUUUCCUUAUGCUUCCCAGCCCUUGUGUCACUCAGUGUGCACAGAUCCAUGUGGAGCCCAUGCUGCUCAGCCACAUGGCUUGUGUUUGCCUUGUGGCUUGAUCCCCUCUCCAGCCAGCUGUACUGGUGCUGCCGUGCCAGUGGUGCUCUUGCCCCUCCAGACCAGUGUGACAGCUGAGUUUGAAGGGCAGCCUCCAACAGCAGGAGUGUGCCAGCCUCUCAGCAGUCCUGUAAGAGUUAAUGCCUCCCUGUGUCCAUGUUUUCACCACAGUGGAAGCUGUGUUUCCAUAUGUCCCUAGCUUCCAUAGCUGGCGCCUUGGCGUGGGCAUCUGUGCCACUCCGCAUGCCUGUGCCCUUGCAAAGACUCACCUGAACUUGUGCUGGGCAAAUCCUCCCGCUCCUGGUCUCCUACAGUGCCCCGUGUGCCCUCUGCACGUACCAAGGCUGCACAGUGGGGUGUGCAUGCCCCUAAACUGCCCUGAAAGCAACCACAUGGCUCACCUGACCAGCCAACGCCUACCAUGUUAUGGACUUUUCUCCAACGUAGGUAAUAACUGAUUGACUGUCACCUGUUUCUCAUAAUGAGCUGCUGCGGUGCGUGACUGCACAAACCAAGCUGUUGUGUAUUCAGAGUCAUAUCUGCCUGCCUGGAUGACAGAAAUGAAGCAUUUGCUGCUUUCUACUUCAUUUAAACCUGCGGGAGCCCAUGGGGCGCAUCCUCCUUGUGCACCAAGGUGUCCAUGUGUGCCACUUGUCAAUCAGGGACUUCUUCACCGAGUGACAUCUGAGCAAAUCUCUUAAUAACAGAGGGACUACACACAGAUUAUUGUGAUCAUAAUUUCACCAACAUAGCCUUUAUUACUAACGGUGAUGUUGGAGAUGGAAAACCCAGCUCGAUUCUCAGAUCCCUGCUGGAAAGUAAUAAAAUAAAGA